GACGAACGCUGGCGGCGUGCUUAACACAUGCAAGUCGAACGGAAAGGCCCUGCUUUUGUGGGGUGCUCGAGUGGCGAACGGGUGAGUAACACGUGAGUAACCUGCCCUUGACUUUGGGAUAACUUCAGGAAACUGGGGCUAAUACCGGAUAGGAGCUCCUGCUGCAUGGUGGGGGUUGGAAAGUUUCGGCGGUUGGGGAUGGACUCGCGGCUUAUCAGCUUGUUGGUGGGGUAGUGGCUUACCAAGGCUUUGACGGGUAGCCGGCCUGAGAGGGUGAACGGCCACAUUGGGACUGAGAUACGGCCCAGACUCCUACGGGAGGCAGCAGUGGGGAAUAUUGCACAAUGGGCGGAAGCCUGAUGCAGAAACGCCGCGUGCGGGAUGACGGCCUUCGGGUUGUAAACCGCUUUCGCCUGUGACGAAGCGUGAGUGACGGUAAUGGGUAAAGAAGCACCGGCUAACUACGUG
rnacentral:rRNA from 1 species